GCCCAAGUAGCUCAGUUGGUAGAGCACGUCCUUGGUAAGGACGAGGUCAUCAGUUCAAUCCUGAUCUUGGGCU
rnacentral:tRNA from 1 species